rnacentral:lncRNA from 1 species
GUCUGUUUCCUAAGUCUUGGGAGGAGGCUUUCAGCGGGUGCGCCAUGGCUUCCCACAUAUCCUUAGAUUGGAAAACUGGGAAGAAAACGCAGAAAUAAAUGAAUCUCCCUACCUUGGAAAGUAGUUCUUUCAACAGAUUGUGUUAGCGCUUGGAGUCACUGCUUUAACUACUAAAAUUGAUUAAAUUAGCAGUUCUGUGUUUUGCCAAGAUUUUUUUAUAGGCUCUCUCCUUCGUUCGCAACAAAUUAAAACCUGGCUCGCAGGGGCGUAUAGUAGACUGGAGACAUUUCUCCUCCUGUCGCUUGAUGCUGAUGUAGCAAGCUUUUGACAGUUUUUAAAAAGAAAGAUUUAAUUCUUGAUUACCACUCCUCAUGUGUCUUAUACCAGGUCUGCAGUAUGGGUGUGUGGGAGGAAACUGAUAUAACAUGCAAGAGUUUAAUAAAUAUUUGUAAUAUGGAGUCUCUAAAUCAUUGCCUCAGGGAAAUCUAAUAUAGGAAAUGAAUUGGUUUCAUCUCGAAGGUAGUGCUGGAUGUCUGUAACGUGCUAAAUAAACGUAUUUUAUAAGUAUCAAACCUAAUGCAAACUGGUUUGCAUUUUGAAAAAACUUUAAAACUUAUUUAAUUUGUGUGUGCGUGUGCAUGGUAUGUGCACACAUUCCACAGCACCACGUAUGCAGGUCAGAAAAUCAUGAUCAGUAGAUCCUUCCAGUGUGGGUCCUGGGCAUUGAACUCAGGAUGUCAGUCUUGGUGGCAAGCACCUUUAUUGAUUGAGCCAUCUCACCAACCCCAAAGCAUUUUUUUUUGUUUGUUUGUUUUGAGACAGAAUACCAUCAUGUAGCCCUACUGGGCGUGAGUUUAAAGUGCUUCUCCUGCGUCCCAAGUCUUGAGAGUAAAGAUACACGUCACCACAUCUGGCUCCCAAAACAUUUAGAUUCAUGUGUAUAUACAUUUUUUUUCAUAAAGUUUAACUGCAAAGCAAUCAUACUCUGUUUCAAAUCUAAAAUAAAAAAUCUCACUCUAAAAUCUAGGAAAAAUGAGAUUAUUCAAUUUACGAAGGCAAAAGAAACCAGCAGAAUAACGAGGGGCAUCGGAAUACUACAAUCCCACCUUCCAGUUGCAAAGCGAGGCAUAUUUUUUACUAAACCCUGAACUCAUAUCAGUUCCCAAAGUAUGCAUUUCUUCCUUGUGUUAUAAUUAGAAGUGAAAAUAGGACAUAACUGUAUAUACUCACGAUGUGUGUAUUUUUAGAAUGAUCCCAGUGCCGUUAAAAAUGUAUAAAUAAAAGCCCCAAAGGAGACGCAGUGAAAUAUCUUUUUCGAUGGUAUCUAUAAAUAUGAUCUUUAAGAUUUCUUAUUUUUGACAGUUUAAUUUUUUUUUUUUUUUUUGGUAACGAAUGCCUAUUUCUUGUAACUAAUGAAAUGAAUUGAAAGCACUGCAUGAAAGAGGAGGUCUGUACUGGCCGCACAUUUGUUAAGCACCGCGAUGUCUUAAUGUUUAUGCUGAUUGUUUAGAAGGUGGCACAGGCAAGAAUGAGCCACUAGCCAUCCAACAACGCUCCGCACGUGGCGUGAUCAGAAAGCCAGUACCAGAGCAAGGAUCAAACACGCUUUGGUCUUCAAAGUCAUCCAGACCCCGAAAAGUCAUAAUUUCUGUUGAACUCUCCUCCCUCCGUGGCUAGAUUGUUCUGCCUUUGAAGUGCCCACUGCAAAGAGCCAGGUGUGGAACUGCUUAGAUCUUCUGAGGCUGACAACCGCUUCCCUUCAUGGAGGGUUUUACAGACCGAUCUCAACACAGGACUGUCACGGUGUAAAGUGGGAGGGAAAUAUAAGGUGCUAAAAUAAGGCAGAACAAUCCGGUAAAAAGGAAGUGGAGCUGCCUCUUGAUUGCUGAGGUCUCUGCAAGAUUUUAUCUAUAGACGGGGUGAAUCCUGCUGAUGAGGGAGAUGGAAAUCGGAACAGCCAGGAUCAAAGUGAUCAGCGGUGUCUGAAUGCGAUAGUCACCAUGUCCUUGAGUACUUUAUAGGUACAUCCCAAAUCUGUCUUCUUCACCGACUUUUAAUGGAGCUGUUGGUGUUGGUGUAGUCACAAGCUUGUCCAAGAGUCUUUUACAAAACAACAUGAAUUUGCCCAAAUUUCCUUCAUAUAUUGGAGUUAAAAAAGUAACCGUCAGGCAUGAAGUCAUGAAUCCUUGGAGACCACUGCCAAGACAAACAGUCAGGAAUUGGUUACUUUAAAGUAGAUCUUUGUGUGUUUAUUAAUGCUUCGAGCCUUACUCCUUCACAGUUCUGUAUCGAUAGAAGCAUCACAGCCAGGUUUGAUGCCCGUAACCCUGGUGUGGGCUGAGGCAAGGGGGCCGUGAGUCUGAGGGGAGUCCGGGCAAUACAAUGAGACCCACCCCCAUCUCCAAAGAUGAAGAAAGAGGAGGAGGGGAGGGAGGGAGAAGGAGAGGAGGGGGAUGGAGAGAGAAGAAGGAGGUGGUAGGAAGAGGAGGGGGAGAAUAGGGAGGAGGAAGAGGGAGAGGGAGGGGAAGGAAGAGGAGAAAGGGGAGGAGUCAGAGCAUCAAGUUCAUAGGCUCACACUGGGAGCCUGGCGCUAUGCCCAGCGCCAUAGCUCUUAGACGGCUUUAAAAUUUUAUAAAUGAGUGGUUCUAUAAAUGACUAUCCAACAUUGUUUCAGCGUUUCUCUGUCAGAGAGGAGACCUUAAAUAAUCAUGUAAGAUAUGACAUGAAAGAAAGAUCCAGGAUCUACAACAAGGUUUAGAGCAGAAACUAAGUGUUCUGGACAGGAAGAGCCUUGGUAGCCCUAGGUUGCCCCUCUGAAACAAACAACCUCCAAUCUGGGGCCUCUCCUGAAUAUUCAGCAGCCCACUCUCACCUGUUGUACGCAACUGCUGUAUACGGCCUUGGGAAGGGACUAGAGUAUAUGGGCCGGGGAAAACUAGGGGCAUGUGGGCAUCCAUCUCUGCGGCUGUCUUAUGGUAGCUCAAUGUGCAUUUCCCUAAGGACUAAGGACAGGGAUCUUUUCAUUUGAUUGUUAGCCAUUUCUAUACGUCUUCUUUUGGUCCUUAGGAUUGUCCUUUUGUUUGUUCGUUUGUUUUUUACAAGACAAGGUUCUUUAUGUAGCCCUGGCUAUCCUGGGACUCACUCUGUAGACCAGGCUGGCCUUGAGAUCUGCCUGCCUCUGCCUCCCAAGUGCUGGGAUUAAAGGUGUGUGCUACCACUGCCUGGCUGAUCAUUUUCGUUGUCUUGUUUGUUUCAAAAAUUUAUUUACUUCUGUAUUUGUGUGGAUGAUGUUGUCUUCUGACCUCUUCUUGAAUGCAGUGAAACACACACACAAUGUAAAGGUUUGAAUAUGGUCUGGAGAGACAGCUCAGUGGUUAAGAGCAGUGGCUGGUCUUAUAGAGGACCAGGGUUUGGUUCCCAGCACCCAUAUGGCAUCUCAUAACUGUGUAUAACUUCUGUUCCAGGGAAUCGGAGGCCCUGUUCCCACCUCCGUGGGCACCAGGCACAAAUAUAAACACCUAGCUGCAGGCAAGGUACUUUAUAGACAUAAAAAAAUUUUUUUAAGUAGUAUUUUGCCAGGCAGUGGUGGCACACGCCUUUCAUCCCAGCACUUGGGAGGCAUAGGCAGGCGAUUUCUGAGUUCAAGGCCAGCAUGGUCUACAGAGUGAGUUCCAGGACAGCCAGGGCUACACAGAGAAACCCUGUCUCGAAAAACCAAAAAAGAAAGUAAUAUUUCUGACCAGAGUGCACCAUGGAGAUGAUGCUUAGGGGUAGGUACUGUUUGUACUUUCAAGUUCUCUGUGUGGAGUGACUCAAGCUGAGAGUGAAAUUUCAGGACCACUUGACUCAUUUGUUGCAAUUAGUUUCUGUCACCUGUGCACAGCAGCUAAGGUGGGAGCCCAAGGACUAGGCUUUGAGAAUACACAGGGCCUUCAUUCUAUAACACUGCAAGGAGCUUGGCAGCCACUGUGGGCUGCUGCCAAGAAUGGUUUUCAAAGUGGGUGAUUUGUGGUUACUGAGGGACAGGGAGCUGUCCGUCCGUUAGGGGCCACACUGGUUACUAUUCAAACUGGCAUUUAUUAAUUAGUUAAUUAAUUCAGUCCAUAUUUUGGGCUAAAUUACUUGAUAGUUACUGGUAUCCGCUCACCAUAAAUCACAUUUUUUUAGAUUGAAUAACAAUAUUUAAAAUAAUAGGAUUGUUAUAAUAAUUUGGAAAAUUACUAAUUCUUUCCCAAC